rnacentral:rRNA from 1 species
AUUGAACGCUGGCGGCAUGCCUUACACAUGCAAGUCGAACGGUAACAGGUCUUCGGAUGCUGACGAGUGGCGAACGGGUGAGUAAUGCAUCGGAACGUGCCCAGUUGUGGGGGAUAACUGCUCGAAAGAGCAGCUAAUACCGCAUACGACCUGAGGGUGAAAGCGGGGGAUCGCAAGACCUCGCGCAAUUGGAGCGGCCGAUGUCAGAUUAGGUAGUUGGUGGGGUAAAGGCCUACCAAGCCGACGAUCUGUAGUUGGUCUGAGAGGACGACCAGCCACUAUGGGACUGGGGCCCGGCCCAGACUCCUACGAGAGGCAGCAGUGGGGAAUUUUGGACAAUGGGCGCAAGCCUGAUUCAGCAAUGCCGCGUGCAGGAAGAAGGCCUUCAGGUUGUAAACUGCUGUUGUCAGGGAAGAAAUCCUCUGUGUUAAUACCCCGGGGGGAUGACGGUACCUGAAGAAUAAGCACCGGCUAACUACGUGCCAGCCGCCGCGGUAAUAC